CCUACGGGAGGCAGCAGUGGGGAAUCUUGCGCAAUGGGCGAAAGCCUGACGCAGCCAUGCCGCGUGAAUGAUGAAGGUCUUAGGAUUGUAAAAUUCUUUCACCGGGGACGAUAAUGACGGUACCCGGAGAAGAAGCCCCGGCUAACUUCGUGCCAGCAGCCGCGGUAAUACGAAGGGGGCUAGCGUUGCUCGGAAUUACUGGGCGUAAAGGGAGCGUAGGCGGAUAGUUUAGUCAGAGGUGAAAGCCCAGGGCUCAACCUUGGAAUUGCCUUUGAUACUGGCUAUCUUGAGUACGGAAGAGGUAUGUGGAACUCCGAGUGUAGAGGUGAAAUUCGUAGAUAUUCGGAAGAACACCAGUGGCGAAGGCGACAUACUGGUCCGUUACUGACGCUGAGGCUCGAAAGCGUGGGGAGCAAACAGGAUUAGAUACCCUGGUAGUCCACGCUGUAAACGAUGAGUGCUAGUUGUCGGCAUGCAUGCAUGUCGGUGACGCAGACUACGACAUAAGACACUCCGCCGUCGGGAGGUACGGUCGCGAAGAAUUAAACUAACAAUAGAAGUUAGACGGACGUGAGACGUAGCCGAACGGACGACGACGAGGGAGGAGG
rnacentral:rRNA from 1 species